rnacentral:rRNA from 1 species
UACAGAGGAGCCAAGCGUUGUCCGGAUUGACUGGGCGUAAAGCGCACGCAGGCGGAUGCGCGCGUGGGGUGUGAAAUCUGGCCGCUUAACGGCCAGGCGCCAUCCCAUACGGCGCGUCUGGAGUGAUGCAGAGGUCGGUGGAAUUGCCGGUGUAGUGGUGAAAUGCGCAGAUAUCAGGAGGAACACCGGUGGCGAAGGCGGGUCUCUGGGCCGAUACUGACGCUGAGGAGCGAAAGCGUGGGGAGCAAACAGG